UCUCAUGGUGAUUGGAAUCAUCCCAAGAGACAGAAGAGCAAAUGGCUUUGGCAAGCUUCCCUACACAAUAACUGUACACUAACACAGAAUCAAGGGCGACUGAGCAAGAACUUUCCAGGGCUUCAAGGCUAAGGACACCAAUAAGGAAUCAAUCUGAAGAAGGCAGGUCGAUCAAGGAAAAGUGCAAGUACAUGAGAAUGUCACAACAUUCUACUAUAAAAAGGAGCUGGAGAUGGGAUUUAAUGGUUAAAAGGGCUACCUCUUCUUUCAGAGAGCCAA
rnacentral:lncRNA from 1 species